GACGAACGCUGGCGGCGUGCUUAACACAUGCAAGUCGAACGAUGACGACCGAGCUUGCUCGGUCUGAUUAGUGGCGAACGGGUGAGUAACACGUGAGCAACCUGCCCUUCACUCUGGGAUAACCUCGGGAAAUCGGGGCUAAUACCGGAUAUGAGCUCCUGUCGCAUGGCGGGUGUUGGAAAGUUUUUCGGUGAAGGAUGGGCUCGCGGCCUAUCAGUUUGCUGGUGAGGUAGUGGCUCACCAAGGCGAUGACGGGUAGCCGGCCUGAGAGGGCGACCGGCCACACUGGGACUGAGACACGGCCCAGACUCCUACGGGAGGCAGCAGUGGGGAAUAUUGCACAAUGGGCGAAAGCCUGAUGCAGCGACGCCGCGUGAGGGAUGACGGCCUUCGGGUUGUAAACCUCUUUCAGCAGGGAAGAAGCGAAAGUGACGGUACCUGCAGAAGAAGCGCCGGCUAACUACGUG
rnacentral:rRNA from 1 species